rnacentral:misc_RNA from 1 species
GAUGAAGAACGCAGCGAAAUGCGAUAAGUAAUGUGAAUUGCAGAAUUCAGUGAAUCAUCGAAUCUUUGAACGCACAUUGCGCCCGUCAGUAUUCUGGCGGGCAUGCCUGUUCGAGCGUCAUUACGCCCCUCAAGUCCCCUGUGGACUUGGUGUUGGGGAUCGGCGAGGCUGGUUUUCCAGCACAGCCGUCCCUUAAAUUAAUUGGCGGUCUCGCCGUGGCCCUCCUCUGCGCAGUAGUAAAACACUCGCAACAGGAGCCCGGCGCGGUCCACUGCCGUAAAAACCCCCAACUUUUUAUAGUUGACCUCGAAUCAGGUAGGACUACCCGCUGAACUUAAGCAUAUCAAUAAGCGGAGGA